UGAACUAUGUUGCAUCCAUGUAAAGAAAGGGGGUUUAAAAUCCAAAUAAUUCCAGGUAACGCGAAGUUUUCAGCGGGAGAGAACAGUUAUCCGUGCCAUGUCAACGAUUUCGCUGCGCGUGAACACGUUAAACUCUGAGGUCCGAUGGUGGAGGGGGCAGGGGCAAUCGGUGGGGGUGUCUUUUGCCUUCCCCCCGCGUUUACCCACCACUACCACAAGUAGGAUCCGUCUUCUGCGCGCUCAUGUGUGUGUGUAGCGCAGGAGCGCGCACAGAUGAGCGCCGCUGCUUCGAGGUCCGGUGUCAUUUGAAACCCUCACAGAAAAUCAUCCCACCCCUAAAAGUAAUAGGCUAUCUAUGAACAUGGAGGGAAUAAUAGACCCUAAACUGUACUAACACUAGUGCCAAAUUUAUUUAUUUGUAAACGCAUUUACCUGCUUACAUGUAAACUUGUGGAAUAACUAUUGAACUAACAAUAUAACAGUUGAUAUGGAAAUACAUAAAAAUUGUGUAAGGUAUUAAAAGAAGGGUGUAAUACUUUAUUUACACAAUUUUUUUAUAUGUGAAUGAAUUUAGGAUUGUCACAUUUAAACUGGUGAAAAAUACAGUAUGUUAACAUUGAAAGAGCACAUCAAGCCAUGAUUGGAAAACAAAAUGAUGCAGAUUUAGGGAAUAGUCAUAUUGACUUUGAGUAGAAAGCAAAAUAAACAUCUUAACAACUGCAAA